AUUUAAAUAGAAAUCGGAAAAAAAAAACUGCUGCAAACUGCGAACAGAGGAGAGGAGGGAGGGGGCGGUGGUGGAUGCCCCGACGCCGGCCACCACCUCCCAGACUUGGUUGCCAACGACCUCAUCUGGGCGGUGGUGGCCGGAGUUGGGGCCACCAUCUCUCGGAUCUCCCCCACUCUCUCAAGAAAUGAUCCACAAGAAAGGCGGGGAGCCCCUAUCAGAGAAAGCCAUUGCGCGCUAGAAGCAGCUUCCGUGGCGCUUCUAAUCUGGAUCUCAGUAGCUGAUACAUCACCUCUGAAUCUGUUUCCACUAUUGCUUGUAUCCGGCCUUCUCUUCUUGCUAUCUCCAUACCUUCCCUUAUGGCUAAACUCCGGUCUCUGGGGCCUCAACUGUGGUCUCUACGGCCCCAACUCCGACCUCUAGGGCCUCAAUUCUGAUCUCCACGACCUCAAUUGUGGUCUCUACAGCUCAACUCCGGUCUCUGGGGCCUCAACUGUGGUCUCAACUGCGGCCUCAUCUGGAGAAUUAUAAGCUUCCAAUAUAUGGUCUAGCCUCUGGUGGUCCACGUUUUAAUAUAUAGAUAGGUAGAGGAGACCGGAGGGGCUAUGUGUUGCGAGCCUUCCAACUUCCAAUGGCAUUGGAGAUGCCACUGGCCAAUUUGAUCAACGCGGUAGCAAAUGAAAAUUAUCCAGUGGAUUCUUGGAGGAUCUUCAUUCUUGUCGACUGCAACUCUUGCCCUGCUGUUGCUCCUUUGUCAUUUUUGCCCUAUCAGAGGAAACAUCAUCUCCUGUAAUGAAAUGCGUCGUUCAUUUUCAAAAUGCAUCGAGGACAGGAGCUCGCAAGAAGUUCAUCAAAUCCAUAGUGAGUUCAAUUUGGGUGCAGAUUACAGAAUUUGGAAUAUUCAUCGCAUGAUCUCCUGUCCUCCUAUUGAUCUUGAACGCUGACGGAGACACACCUUUGAUAUUCCCCUAAUCAUAAGCAUAUGGCAAUACAUCUGGAUAAUUUUAUCGCUGCUUAUGGCUAGGCUGUGGGGUAGAAAAGUAAUCCUCGCCACCUCGGUGACCUUGAUUUGCAGUGAUACAGAUAGCUAUAGGAAACCUAAUGGUGGCAAAUUUGGAGCCUAAUGCAGGAUUCUAUACUCUGGUGGGUGUCGCAAUUCUCGUGUGUAUUGGUGCAUUUUAGAUAGGGUCUGGCCUACAGGUGACAUCGAGCCCGAAGACGAAUGGAUGUUGGCCGCGAUAACUUGCGUUGAAGCCACUGGCUUUUUUACGCAAAUUAUUUUGGUCAUGCUGCCCAACUCUUAAUGUGCCUGCGAGGAAGCUGGCUUUUUCACAUACUAGCAGUAGCAGCUAGUCCGACUUGGUUUAUGUAGUUAUACGCGGUAGGAUGAGGAGUGAGAGGUAUAUCCACUAUGUUCUAUGGUUCGUGGGAAGACUGGAUCACUAUUUGUUUCUUUUUAGAUUACAGAUUGUUUGCUUGGUUUCAGAGAGUUUCAAAUGGAGCAUAUGCACUAUGUUUUACGGUUUAUGGAAAGACUGGAUCACUUUGAUUGGAUGUUUUUAGAUUACUGAUUGUUUGCUUGGGAUCAAA